GAUGUGGGCGUGCCCGAAAGGGAACCUAGACACAGGUGCUGCAUGGCUGUCGUCAGCUCGUGUCGUGAGAUGUUGGGUUAAGUCCCGCAACGAGCGCAACCCUUGCCAUUAGUUGCUACAUUCAGUUGGGCACUCUAAUGGGACCGCCGGUGACAAACCGGAGGAAGGUGGGGAUGACGUCAAGUCCUCAUGGCCCUUAUGGGUAGGGCUUCACACGUAAUACAAUGGUCGGUACAGAGGGCUGCCAACCCGCAAGGGGGAGCUAAUCCCAGAAAGCCGAUCGUAGUCCGGAUUGUAGUCCGCU
rnacentral:rRNA from 1 species